rnacentral:lncRNA from 1 species
AGUCGGUGACCCCAACUCAGUCACCUUCUCCAGGAUUUAGAAAGACGGCCUUGAGAUAAACGAAAAAGAUGACUUCUGGAGCCGUGUUUCUAUGAGGGAAUUAUACUCUCCAUGGCCUGUGUGAAUCACAGGAAACAAAACAGAGCCAAGAAAAUAUUUAUUCUAACAACAUACAGGUGUCCACAGAACCAGACCUAGGAGUGACAUUAGAAGGAACAGAAAAGGCUCUAUGGCAGUGAACAUAACUGGCUCAGGAAACAGUUUGGUAAGAUGUGUAAGACUGUUGAACAAUAUCAAAUGAAGAAAAAAGAGUUUUUAAAUGAAGAAGUAUGGGAAGUUGAUUGGUAAUACAUGCAACAAUAGAGUUAAAAAACUACAGACAACCUCUGCAAGGAAGAUGGAGUUCGUCAAAGACCAAAUUACAAGUACCAAGAGCCUCAAGCUGAUUUGUUAUUAUAAUCUGUGUGUGUAAAAAACAGGAAAAAGAU